UGACAGGCUGGACAUGAUAAUCUCUCA
rnacentral:piRNA from 1 species